CCCUAGCUGGUACUGAACGUUUGAACCAGUCCAGCUUUCGUUGAUUGGAUGCUACUUAUAUUCUCCAUUGUCAAGAGUAAUGUUGACAUAUACCUCCUCGCGGGUACUGUUUAUUCUUCAUUGUCAAGAGGAAAUUUGGAUUGCGCAGUAUCAGCUUUGUGGGUUGUUUUCAUUGCAGCUGCACUUCCUUGUUUUACAGGCUGCGUUUUUUAAGCAAUCUGCAAGCAUAAGAUUUAGGCAGUGGAUUUGACAUUUCGUGCAUCUAAAACUACACCAAUGGCCAUUUCUACACCACAUCUGACUCCUACAUGGAGAUAUACAGUCUGCAGGAUAUUGCUGUUUGAUCAAAGUGAAAUGGAGCUCGGUAAUUAAGAAGGGAAUAAGUCAGUCCUGGUUGACGGAUCAACUCUUGCUGUAUGUCUAAUCGUCCAAUCUGAUGAUUUUUACACACUGACAAUCUUCAUUUGACGAAUCCAUCAGGAACAAAAGCUGGAACACAAUACAGUAGAUUACGGCUUCAAGCCUACAAUGACUGCAUGAUUCAUGCCUGUGUAUAUGUGACAGAACAAGCCGAUGUAUGUGUUAGCCGAAAAUUAGAUUGCACUUUUACACAUUUUGAACAACUGGCUGGCUUUUAGCCAAGUCGUUUUCAUCUGAAAUUUUUUGAACGACUUGGAUGUCAAAGGUGGAGCAGUAUCAUUUGUGAAUGAGAUAGAAUACUAGCUGACGAUCACUUUCUCCUAGUUACAGUUCAAAGUAACAAUCUUUUACUCCACAUUUUGGGAAGAAUCUCUACGGCCGGUAUUCUACCAUAAAUCACAAUGGUUGAAGUUUUGUUUUAUUCCUUGACUGGUGGAUUUAAAAUUCCAAAAUGGUUUGUCUUUUUCAUUCUCAUGAAUCUAGGUGGAAGUAAAUCCACAACAUUAAAUAAAAUACAAGGGCAAGAAGCUAACUUGAUUUUCCCAUACCCAUGUGACAGUACAGAAGUCACUUUACGGCAUUCCCUCAGCGCCCCAUUUUAUCGCUCGACAGACGGGUCAGCGCUGUCAUUGCCUCGAGUUCAGGUCAAUAGAUUCCAAGUGCAGAAUAGAAACAAAAAUGGAAACUGCUCUCUGGAUCUUACAAUAACUAAUCUAAUGAGAAAUGAUGCAGGGAAAUACAUCUCAUCGGUUUACAAGGAUGGGCAGUCAAUUAUUGUUGAUCACACAACAAGAGUCGAACUGCAAAUAGACUAUCCUCCUGGUAAGGCAUCAUGUGAUGUGAGUGAAGGAAAGGGUGGAGACUGGGUUUUAAUAGACUGUACAGCUAAUGUUGGGAGUCUAUCAGGAAAGAUUGAAUGCUAUCAGGGUGGUGUAUGGAUGCCUUCCCUAACUGACCCCAGUGAAUCUGUCACUUUAUUAACACAGACCAUUCUCAUCAGAAAAUCUCUGCCAGUAUUUUGUUGUUCUUCUUUUUUGGAUGAAUACAAAGAAAGAUGUGAAUGUAAGGAUACUGGUCUGUAUAUAGCUGAUGAUGAUAGCAAUGACCCUUGCCCUCCUUUAGAAAUUACAACAAUGCCUCCUCUUUCCACUCUCACAGAAAACAAUCAAAGUGAUUACUAUUCCAAUAUGACGUCCUCCAUUCCAAUUAAUAUGGAAACAUGCAACUUUGAUAGCAUUCAGUUUAUAAUUUCCGUUACUAUUGAAUCCAUAGUGCUAGUCUUGAUUUUUGUUAUGGUGUAUAAAAUGAUAAAAAGGGUGAGAAAUGCUGAAUGUAGACAAUAUAUUCCUCUUACUUUGUGUUGUUGGCCCAAAUCUUCCAAUAAUGGAAACGAUUUGAUUGAAAUUAAACCAGUUUAUUAGUUUACCACAGGUUUGAUAAUUUAGUUACUACAAUUACUACCGAACUCAUGCCUGUGUAUGUCUUUGAAUGUCAGAGAACCAGCCGAUGUAUGAAUGCUAGCUUAAUAAUUGAUUGCAUUUACGCUUGCAUUUUGAAUAACUAGCUAGCUUUUAGCCACACCAUUUCCAUCUGGAAUUUUUUUAUUGAGUUGGAUGUCAAAGGUGUAACAUAUUACUGUUUGUGAAAUACAGUGUGAGUCAAAAAAAGUUUACACCUAGAAAAUUGCUAAUUAUUUGUAAAAUAAUCU